rnacentral:rRNA from 1 species
GAUCUUGCUCCAAAAAGAUAAAUAAUUCAACAUCGAGGUCAUAAUCUUUUUCUUUUAUAAGAACUUUGAGAAAAAAUUAUGCUGUUAUCCCUACGGUAACUAAUUUUUUUCUCGGUUUGAGGAUGUUUAAAGAAAGAAUAAAAAGAUUUAGUUUUUCACCGCCCCAGUUCAACAAAAGUUAAGUUCGAUAGGGUCUUGUCGUCCUUCUAAAAAAUUCAAGUCUUCUUACUUGAAAGCUAAGUUAAAGAAAUAAAAAUAAUAAAGGAAUCUAUGUGUCAGACCUUUCAUUCUAGCCUUUAAUUAGAAGGCAAAUGAUUACGCUACCUUAGCACAAAGUUAUUGCGGCUAUUUAAAGAGCUCAUUGAGCAGGUCCUACUGAUUAUAAUUUCAUUCAGAAAUGUUUUUGGUAAACAGACAAUAAACAAAAGCCGAGUUCAUAAUUUUUAAUCCAUUAAUGAAUUAGAAGAGUUUUCAACAAUAAAGUUUUAUGAAAUAUUUACUAAUAAAAUCAUUGUCUAAUCUUAUAGAAGUGCUUCUUUUAAGAAAAUUUAUAUCAGAAAAUAGAAGGGUUUUAAAACCAAAAAGACACUAUUAAUCCUAAAUCUUAAUAAUUACUAGAAUGAAAAUUUAUUAGAAAGGUUGACCUUUUUAAUGUUGUGGUACUUUUACCUUAGAAGAAAACCAGAUAUGAUAGAAUACGAAUGGAAUUUCAUCUCUAUUUCUAUUUUGAAGAAUUCUUUGAAACGAAUUCGGCAUAAGAGGAAUAGAUCAUUUCUAUUUCGGGAAUAUUUUUUAAAAAAGCUUAGUAGAUUUUCCCUGAUACCAAAGGUACAGUGACUUUCUCUUUUUCAAUGGAAGGAUUUCCCUUACGGUAAAAGAAGUAAAAAGAAUAAAUAGAAGUAGGUAAAUAUUUAUUUAAACAGGAAUCUUAAAACAUUCU